GACGAACGCUGGCGGCGUGCUUAACACAUGCAAGUCGAACGGAAAGGCCCUGCUUUUGUGGGGUGCUCGAGUGGCGAACGGGUGAGUAACACGUGAGUAACCUGCCCUUGACUUUGGGAUAACUUCAGGAAACUGGGGCUAAUACCGGAUAGGAGCUCCUGCUGCAUGGUGGGGGUUGGAAAGUUUCGGCGGUUGGGGAUGGACUCGCGGCUUAUCAGCUUGUUGGUGGGGUAGUGGCUUACCAAGGCUUUGACGGGUAGCCGGCCUGAGAGGGUGACCGGCCACAUUGGGACUGAGAUACGGCCCAGACUCCUACGGGAGGCAGCAGUGGGGAAUAUUGCACAAUGGGCGGAAGCCUGAUGCAGCAACGCCGCGUGCGGGAUGACGGCCUUCGGGUUGUAAACCGCUUUCGCCUGUGACGAAGCGUGAGUGACGGUAAUGGGUAAAGAAGCACCGGCUAACUACGUGCCAGCAGCCGCGGUGAUACGUAGGGUGCGAGCGUUGUCCGGAUUUAUUGGGCGUAAAGGGCUCGUAGGUGGUUGAUCGCGUCGGAAGUGUAAUCUUGGGGCUUAACCCUGAGCGUGCUUUCGAUACGGGUUGACUUGAGGAAGGUAGGGGAGAAUGGAAUUCCUGGUGGAGCGGUGGAAUGCGCAGAUAUCAGGAGGAACACCAGUGGCGAAGGCGGUUCUCUGGGCCCUUCCUGACGCUGAGGAGCGAAAGCGUGGGGAGCGAACAGGCUUAGAUACCCUGGUAGUCCACGCUGUAAACGGUGGGUACUAGGUGUGGGGUCCAUUCCACGGGUUCCGUGCCGUAGCUAACGCUUUAAGUACCCCGCCUGGGGAGUACGGCCGCAAGGCUAAAACUCAAAGGAAUUGACGGGGCCCCGCACAAGCGGCGGAGCAUGCGGAUUAAUUCGAUGCAACGCGUAGAACCUUACCUGGGUUUGACAUGGAUCGGGAGUGCUCAGAGAUGGGUGUGCCUCUUUUGGGGUCGGUUCACAGGUGGUGCAUGGCUGUCGUCAGCUCGUGUCGUGAGAUGUUGGGUUAAGUCCCGCAACGAGCGCAACCCUUGUUCACUGUUGCCAGCACGUUAUGGUGGGGACUCAGUGGAGACCGCCGGGGUCAACUCGGAGGAGGGUGGGGAUGACGUCAAGUCAUCAUGCCCCUUAUGUCCAGGGCUUCACGCAUGCUACAAUGGCUGGUACAGAGAGUGGCGAGCCUGUGAGGGUGAGCGAAUCUCGGAAAGCCGGUCUCAGUUCGGAUUGGGGUCUGCAACUCGACCUCAUGAAGUCGGAGUCGCUAGUAAUCGCAGAUCAGCAACGCUGCGGUGAAUACGUUCCCGGGGCU
rnacentral:rRNA from 1 species